CUGCUGCCUCCCGUAGGAGUCUGGGCCGUAUCUCAGUCCCAAUGUGGCCGUUCAACCUCUCAGUCCGGCUACUGAUCGUCGCCUUGGUAGGCCGUUACCCCACCAACUAGCUAAUCAGCCGCAAGCUCAUCUAUCAGCGAAUUGCUUCUUUCCCACUAUCAUCAUGCGAUGACUAUGGCAUAUGCGGUAUUAGCAGUGAUUUCUCACUGUUAUUCCCCUCUGAUAGG
rnacentral:rRNA from 1 species